rnacentral:rRNA from 1 species
GACGAACGCUGGCGGCGUGCUUAACACAUGCAAGUCGAACGGAAAGGCCCUGCUUUUGUGGGGUGCUCGAGUUGCGAACGGGUGAGUAACACGUGAGUAACCUGCCCUUGACUUUGGGAUAACUUCAUGAAACUGGGGCUAAUACCGGAUAGGAGUUCCUGCUGCAUGGUGGGGGUUGGAAAGUUUCGGCGGUUGGGGAUGGACUCGCGGCUUAUCAGCUUGUUGGUGGGGUAGUGGCUUACCAAGGCUUUGACGGGUAGCCGGCCUGAGAGGGUGACCGGCCACACUGGGACUGAGAUACGGCCCAGACUCCUACGGGAGGCAGCAGUGGGGAAUAUUGCACAAUGGGCGGAAGCCUGAUGCAGCAACGCCGCGUGCGGGAUGACGGCCUUCGGGUUGUAAACCGCUUUCGCCUGUGACGAAGCGUGAGUGACGGUAAUGGGUAAAGAAGCACCGGCUAACUACGUG